GGCUCAGAUUGAACGCUGGCGGCAUGCCUUACACAUGCAAGUCGAACGGCAGCACGGACUUCGGUCUGGUGGCGAGUGGCGAACGGGUGAGUAAUGCAUCGGAACGUGCCAUUGAGUGGGGGAUAACGUAGCGAAAGUUGCGCUAAUACCGCAUAUUCUGUGAGCAGGAAAGCAGGGGACCGCAAGGCCUUGCGCUCUUUGAGCGGCCGAUGUCAGAUUAGCUAGUUGGUGAGGUAAAGGCUUACCAAGGCGACGAUCUGUAGCGGGGUCUGAGAGGAUGAUCCGCCACACUGGAACUGAGACACGGUCCAGACUCCUACGGGAGGCAGCAGUGGGGAAUUUUGGACAAUGGGGGCAACCCUGAUCCAGCCAUGCCGCGUGAGUGAAGAAGGCCUUCGGGUUGUAAAGCUCUUUCGGCCGGGAAGAAAUCGCAUGGGCCAAUACCCUGUGUGGAUGACGGUACCGGAACAAGAAGCACCGGCUAACUACGUG
rnacentral:rRNA from 1 species